UGCAGUCGAACGAUGAUCCUCACUUGUGGGGGGAUUAGUGGCGAACGGGUGAGUAACACGUGAGUAACCUGCCCUUAACUCUGGGAUAAGCCUGGGAAACUGGGUCUAAUACCGGAUAUGACUCCUCAUCGCAUGGUGGGGGGUGGAAAGCUUUUUGUGGUUUUGGAUGGACUCGCGGCCUAUCAGCUUGUUGGUGAGGUAAUGGCUUACCAAGGCGACGACGGGUAGCCGGCCUGAGAGGGUGACCGGCCACACUGGGACUGAGACACGGCCCAGACUCCUACGGGAGGCAGCAGUGGGGAAUAUUGCACAAUGGGCGCAAGCCUGAUGCAGCGACGCCGCGUGAGGGAUGACGGCCUUCGGGUUGUAAACCUCUUUCAGUAGGGAAGAAGCGAAAGUGACGGUACCUGCAGAAGAAGCGCCGGCUAACUACGUGCCAGCAGCCGCGGUAAUACGUAGGGCGCAAGCGUUAUCCGGAAUUAUUGGGCGUAAAGAGCUCGUAGGCGGUUUGUCGCGUCUGCCGUGAAAGUCCGGGGCUCAACUCCGGAUCUGCGGUGGGUACGGGCAGACUAGAGUGAUGUAGGGGAGACUGGAAUUCCUGGUGUAGCGGUGAAAUGCGCAGAUAUCAGGAGGAACACCGAUGGCGAAGGCAGGUCUCUGGGCAUUAACUGACGCUGAGGAGCGAAAGCAUGGGGAGCGAACAGGAUUAGAUACCCUGGUAGUCCAUGCCGUAAACGUUGGGCACUAGGUGUGGGGGACAUUCCACGUUUUCCGCGCCGUAGCUAACGCAUUAAGUGCCCCGCCUGGGGAGUACGGCCGCAAGGCUAAAACUCAAAGGAAUUGACGGGGGC
rnacentral:rRNA from 1 species